UAAAGUUUAUGAAAUCCAGACCAAAAAAUAUUCUGCUGCUAAAAAAGCUAGGAAUUAAAUCAAUUCUUCUCUUCAGGUCAGUGGUGACAAUGUGUACAUGCAGAUAUCUACUUCCUCCAGUGAACUGCAUAGGAACUCCAGUCUCCAUUUCUUCUCAAAAUCCAGGACAAAUGAAGAAUAAUGAACAAUAAAUUUCAGCUAUAUAGUUUUCAAAUGCUCAUGUUGAAAUAGCCUCAUCACUCGUGCUGCCAGCACUUGGAUGUCACAGCAGUAGACUUCAACAGCCUAAGUAGCAGUUGCUGAACUACUUCAUUUUUCAGACACCUCCUGCAGAGACUUCCCUCAUGCUAAGACAUCCCUGGCAUGACCAAGAGAAAAACUUAACAUCUUGGGGUCAGUAUUUUCAGAGAACCCUGUGGAGUUAGGUCUUCAGAUUUCAUUGGAUUUCAGUGCAGGUUGAACACCUAAAUUUGUGUCUCUGAAAAAAAUCCCCUUGUAAGGUAAUAGCCCACUUCUUUGUCCCUACCCUGUAUUGUCUUCCAGACACUAUUUUCCAGUGUUUUUUCUAGUUGUAAGUAAAUGCUGUGGGACUAUAUUAGUAUCUGAGGAUCCAGCUAGAAGAGAUGAACUUGAUUAUAAAGUCUUUAUUAAGAAUAGGUUUGCUCUCUGUGCCCUAGGCCCAAAACUUCAUCCAUGCCUCUGUGUGGCAGUGACAUCUUGAAGGCGUGUCUUUCAGAUCAGUUAAUGUCCAGAUUUGUGCACAUCAUGUGUUAAGAAUUACUACUGUUUGUAACAUCAAUGAUAGGGCUUUCACCACUCCCUGGGAGAAGUCAUUUUGCAGCCUGAUAUAUGUCACUGUUGGAAGGCUUCUCUUGAUGUUUUUAUAAUGGUUUUUUAGCACUGGAAGACUGAAGAUAGAAAGCAAAAAGCUCACUGUGUUGGCUAGAGCUCAGUAUGCAUGUGCCUAUGCCUGUGCAUAGAGAUGAGGUAACUGGUCAGACAUGGUAUCAUUUUACAUUCCCCUCCCACACCAGAAAAGCACCUUCCUUCUUUAUCCUAUUUAUAGAAAAUAAAAGAAUUUCCUUGGUUCUUUUUUUGGACAAGAAAUGUAAUGUUAAUGUUUUACACAGAUCUCUUCAGUCAGAAGCCCAGGAGAGAAUCAAUACAGCCCUGGCUGGGAGAGCAUGCUGCCUCUAAAAACAAGGCAGUAAGGAUAGUUAAUGACCUGAUGUCCACAGAUGUCCAAAUUCUGUCUCAAUGCCAAAAAAAAGGAUUAACCCAAAUGAUAUAGUUCAAGUAAGUUCCCUCAUAGCAGAAUUUAAGCAAACUUCACAGGGGAAAUCAUAAUGUAUGCAAGAAACUAUACCUCCUCCUGGCACUCCCACACCCACUGAACUGCAUCCAUCUCUCCUUAGGGAGAAAGAUGUAAAAAUAGCACAGAAAAGCAUACUUUCAGAGGAUAAAGUGAAAUUUUAAAUUAACUAAAUAGCUCAGGUUGAAAGAGUAUGCAGCUUUUACCAAUGUAUGAAGGAGUUAUAACUACUGGUGGUCCAAAAAAAGAGAUACACAUGUUUACACACUUACCUGAAGUUCAUUGUCUCAAAACAAAUGUCGCUUAACAUCCAGCAACUCAGUUUGGUUUAGCCAAAGAAAGUAAAUCCAUCUCUCACCAAUACAGCUUUCCAGAAGGAUUUUUGAAAUCCUCUUUUCCCUUGUGUCUACUUAACAAAUGGUCUCUGGAAAUGCUGGCUAUUUACUUACAGAAAUCAUAUUCUUGGGACCCAGUUUAUCCUUUCAUAAUUCAAAGGCUGGAGGGGCAUGGUAUUACGUUUUAUGUGCGAGUCUUACAAUAAAGAUGUAAAAAUGAUCCUCUAGUCAGGCUGAAGAAUAUUUAUCCUACAGUCAUGCACUGUUGCCCAAGGGUUUUUGUAUAAAUUCUUCCUUGAUCCGCACUCUCCUAUUUAACUUGAGCCUCUGUUAGUUCCUCUUACCUUUACCCAACUGCCUGAAGCAGCUAAGGAAUGAGAUACACAUCCUGAGCUCCUUUGAUAGUCAAGGCAGAGGGAAGCAUCUCCAGUGCAGCCACCUUAGAUCUGAACUGGACUCAAUUACCUUCUCUAUCUGCCUUGCCCACACGGUAUUCAAUGGAGGCUAACCCAGCACCCGCAAAGGCUAUCAAAAAACUACAUCCCUGCAUCAGAUGCAUAGGAAGGAGAGGCAGGCUUUGGGGCAGCACAGAGAGGGUCACUGGCUUUUGCAGUGGUUGCCUUCCACUGCAGUCAUCUUGGCAUGGUGGCAAAGAGAGCCUUUGAGAGCCUUUCCUGCAGGAUUACAACAUGGAGGGGUCACUCUACCUCAGCCUCAGGAACCAACUGCACUGGAAGGGCAGAUACGGUGGCUUUUGUCUAAAUUUGGAGCCCAAUUCUUCACUGCUUUUCCCCAUAUGAUGAGAGCAAAGGGGGUUGUUUUUGUGUUUAUCUUCUUUCCAAUUAAUUUCUUCAUAUAUUUCAAGUAAUUUUAUAUCAUAAACUGAAUAAUAACCUCGCCUCUCAAUAUAGCACCAUGCCCAGUUGUAGCCUGAAAUUUUCAUAUUUGGGAAAUAAUCUGCUCCAGUUUUACAUGGGGAAUAUUUAGGUUGGAUGGCAGCUUUCUUACAUUUUUUCAAUGCACUUUUUUAGGAGUUUUCUUUUUAUAUUUUUCAUAAUUCCCCAAGGAUGUGUGUAUAGUGUCAACAGUACUGAAUGACAUGAUCUUUUACUGUAAGGAACUGAAAUAUCAUGGUAAUCUAGUUUUCAUGGUAAUUUGGCCCAUGGAAGUCUCUCCCAGGGAUAAAAAUGCCUGAGAAAAAUGGAAUUCACAUAAACUCUCAUUCUUUUCUAUGUUCAUGUAUGAGUCUAUGGGGAAAUAGAUGAAUUGUCAGCCUCCAAAUAUAAAUUACACUGCCCAAGAAUGAAAGAUCAGUACAUGCUCAAAUUCCAGAUCCAGUAAUAAUAAAAAUAAAAUUCAGCAUUAGUUCCAUUGAUAACAAAACCUCAGUACAGUGCAAAAAUACCACCGUGAUCAGCACAAUAUACAAGAAGAAGGGUGCGGUUCCCUCACAGCUGAAGCCAAACUAAGCUGAUCUGUUUCCUUUCAUGGUCACACCACCCCUCCUUGUCAUCACAGCACUAUUUAUUUUAUUCUGUUAGUUUUCUAACAAUUAGUACCUGGGCCUACCCUGCCCUGCCAGGGAGUCAGAGGAAGAGCACAUAUGUACAAAGUGUAAGGUGGGUUGCACUCCACAUAAUCGCCUGUAUGCGUGCAAGGAACAUAAGGCAAAUGUAGAAUGGCAGCAAAGCCUUCUGCACAAGACAGAAUGGCAUUAUUUAUGCACCAACUAAUUUGAAAGUCCUUUGGUUUGUGUAACAGUAAUCUAUAUGAUUGAUUUGCCAUCUUGGAUAGAAAUUAGGAAACCUGUUUGCCAAAGACUUGCCAAACCAGUCCUUCUCAAUGUCUGGUAUGACAUUUAUGUGUUUGUCUUCCUGUGAACGUAGGACUAGUUUAAGUGUAUAGGAAUAGGUAAAGAAAAAGAAAAGCUAUGAAUAUCAUAUGGUUAAUGGAAGAGCAGCUCUGUCUGUGUGAGAAAGGGGAAUAAACUAUUCUGGAAGAGAAAGUAGAAUAAAGCAGAUAUCUUUUGCAAUUAUAUCCAUGCUGGGUGUAUAAAUAUAUUAGCAAAAACUCAUCUCCUUAAAUAAAAUAAUUAUACAGCUCUCAAACUGAAUGCAUACUGAAAUCAUUUAAAGAGAAAACAACCAUAAAUAAAUAAAUUUUUUUUUUAAGUCAGAAAAAAAUAAAAGAAUCACAGUGGAGACAAGAAUUUGGAAAUAAUUAGCACUCAGUAACUGUGUUUUAAAUGGCCCACAAAGUGAAGAAUAGUGCCACUGUAAACUGGGCAGUCCAGCUAGAACUGGAAGACUCAAGUAUUGCUGCUUAUUUAAAGUUCUCUGUGAUUCUAUAAAGACCUGGAGGCAGUGGUGUGUAUAACUUAAAGCUGCAUUACUAGUGCAUGACGCGGCUCCCAAGAGCAAUGUCCCGUAUCCGCACCGGGACAGGUUUCACUCCUGUGUCCAGUUCCCCCUUUGUGUACUCACAGGCACCACAAAAGCAACGUGAAUGCAGCAAACUUCACCUCUUGGCAGAUGUCGAGUUUCUUUCCCAGGAGAAUGACCCUGCCGCCUGCCUAACACAAUACAAAGAAGGGUUUUUUCCAGCCGUGCCCUGCAAGUCAAUACUCGCUGUUAUGUAACUAAACACAGCAUAUCAGCUCACAUAGCCUUUUUAAUGGGGAAAAACAGUACUUUUUAAGAUUUGUGGCCAGAUUCAUCACACGCCUGACAGCUCUGUGCUGCUCCAAUGACACAGAACAGCUUUCAGCCUGCAAUAACUGAUUGAUUAAACCAGCUCGUCAUGGUAUCACUGGAGCAGUGCAAACCAGCUGAAGCAUAACAGUAAACCUACCUCCUCAGCUUUGAUUUUGAGGGAUUUAUAUCUCAGCCUGAUAUAAUUUCCAAAGAUAAA